GCACAAGCAGCGGAGCGUGUGGUUUAAUUCGAUGCUACACGAAGAACCUUACCAGGGCUUGACAUGUUGGAAGUAGGGACCCGAAAGGGCGACGACCUGUAUUCAGUCAGGAGCCUUCACAGGUGCUGCAUGGCUGUCGUCAGCUCGUGCCGUGAGGUGUUGGGUUAAGUCCCGCAACGAGCGCAACCCUCGUCCCAUGUUGAUUUCUCAUGGGAUACUGCCCUGUACAGCAGGGAGGAAGGUGGGAUGACGUCAAGUCAGCAUGGCCUUUAUGCCCUGGGCCACACACACGCUACAAUGGGUGGUACAGAGGGUUGCCACGGAGCAAUCCGGAGCUAAUCCCUUAAAACCAUCCUCAGUUCGGAUUGCAGGCUGCAAUCGCCUGCAUGAAGCCGGAGCUGCUAGUAACCGCAGGUCAGCUAUACUGCGGUGAAUACGUUCUCGGGCCUU
rnacentral:rRNA from 1 species